GACGAACGCUGGCGGCGUGCUUAACACAUGCAAGUCGAACGGUGAAGCGCCUUCCUUUUUGGUGGGUGUGGAUGAGUGGCGAACGGGUGAGUGACACGUGAGUAACCUGCCCCCUUCUUCUGGAUAACCGCAUGAAAGUGUGGCUAAUACGGGAUAUUCUGGGUCUGUCGCAUGAUGGGUCUGGGAAAGAUAUUGUUUCGGUGGGGGAUGGGCUCGCGGCCUAUCAGCUUGUUGGUGGGGUGAUGGCCUACCAAGGCGGUGACGGGUAGCCGGCCUGAGAGGGUGGACGGUCACACUGGGACUGAGACACGGCCCAGACUCCUACGGGAGGCAGCAGUGGGGAAUAUUGCACAAUGGGCGCAGGCCUGAUGCAGCGACGCCGCGUGAGGGAUGGAGGCCUGCGGGUUGUGAACCUCUUUCGCCAGUGAAGCAGGCCUGCCUCGUUUGUGGGUGGGUUGACGGUAGCUGGAUAAGAAGCGCCAGCUAACUACGUG
rnacentral:rRNA from 1 species